rnacentral:rRNA from 1 species
UACGGGGGGGGCAAGCGUUGUUCGGAAUUACUGGGCGUAAAGGGCUCGUAGGCGGCAACUAAGUCAGACGUGAAAUCCCUCGGCUUAACCGGGGAACUGCGUCUGAUACUGGAUGGCUUGAGAUUGGGAGAGGGAUGCGGAAUUCCAGGUGUAGCGGUGAAAUGCGUAGAUAUCUGGAGGAACACCGGUGGCGAAGGCGGCAUCCUGGACCAACACUGACGCUGAGGAGCGAAAGCCAGGGGAGCAAACGGG